rnacentral:rRNA from 1 species
GUCUUUUUGAUAAUAAUUUAAAGUCUGACCUGCCCAAUGAUUUAUUUAAAUGGCCGCGAUAUUUUGAUCGUGCAAAGGUAGCAUAAUAAUUAGUUUUUUAAUUGAGAACUGGAAUGAAAGGUCGAACGAGAAAAUAACUGUCUCAAUUUAAGUUUAAAUUAAAAUUUUAUUUUUAAGUAAAAAAGCUUAAAUAAUUUUAAAAGACGAGAAGACCCUAUAGAGUUUGAUAUUUAUUGAUUAUUUUUUAAUUUUUAGAAUUUAAUUUUAAAAUUAAUUUGUUAAAUAUUUAAUUGGGGUGAUUGAAAAAUUUAAUAAACUUUUUUUAUAUACUAUCAUUAAUUUAUGAUUAAAUGAUCCAUAUUUUAUGAUUAAAAGAUAAAAUUACCUUAGGGAUAACAGCGUAAUUUUUUUUGAGAGUUCUUAUCGAAAAAAUAGAUUGCGA